rnacentral:rRNA from 1 species
UACGUAGGGUGCGAGCGUUGUCCGGAAUUAUUGGGCGUAAAGAGCUCGUAGGCGGCCUGUUGCGUCCGCUGUGAAAGCCCGGGGCUUAACCCCGGGUCUGCAGUGGAUACGGGCAGGCUAGAGUUCGGCAGGGGAGACUGGAAUUCCUGGUGUAGCGGUGAAAUGCGCAGAUAUCAGGAGGAACACCGGUGGCGAAGGCGGGUCUCUGGGCCGAUACUGACGCUGAGGAGCGAAAGCGUGGGGAGCGAAC